rnacentral:tRNA from 1 species
ACUUAAAUAGCUUAAUAUUUAAAGCGUGACAUUGAAGCUGUUAAAAUGAUAUCUAUUAUCUUUAAGUA